ensembl:rRNA 5S_rRNA 5S ribosomal RNA
GUCUAUGGCCUGACCACCCUGAACGAGCUGGAUCUCUUCUGAUCUCAGAAGCUAAGCACGGUCAGGCCUGGUUAGUACUUGGAUGGGAGAUUCCCAUGGGCACCAGACUAUAGUGAACC